AUUUCUCACAUGCAUUCCCUGAAAGGCUGAAACUGCAACUGUAACAGCAACAACCACCACUAGAUUCAGUGACUCUUGAUGAGAAAUUCAAAUAUGCUGCAGACUCAAACGGGAAGAUGAACAAGAAGAGCAGAAAUUUCAGUAUACGAAGCAUCGUACAUUUGUGGGUUCUGAAGAGAGUAGAUGUGUAUAGCUUUUCUGUUACAGUGGUCGGAACCCUGACAUCCGCCUACAAUAUUUUUCAAAAUUUUCUUUAUUAUGAAACUCUCCUUCUAUAGCUCUCUGUAUGUUUGCAUAAAAAUUAAUACAUACUGAAAUACACAGCAGUCAAUUUUAAUGUAAAUCAUCAUAAUCGCAAAUUAAAUAGUCUUCAACAAGAACGGCAGGCGGGUGCAGUCGAAGCCAGAGUAGGUAAAAUUAAAAGGCCAACUUGAAUUCAUUUUUAUCUUUUAUCCAUUCAGUUAUUUAUUGAUUUCUGUCCAUCUGAGCAUAUCAAAUAAUGGAACAGGUGAGAUAUAUAUGUUUGAAAGCUGGGUUAAGCGUAGCUAUGAUCAUGGGAGGAGUUCAAUUCAUGGAAAGCCAACAUGGUAAAUAUCGUUUCUUUUGAUUUAUCAAAUUUGCGAAAAUUUUUAUGGCCGAAAAGAUUAAAAACUGGAAUCUCCUGCAUUUUAUAUUCUUAUAGAAAAUGAGAAAGUCAAUCACUCUUGUUUUUUGAAUCAGAGAAAUUUUAGAAUUUGAGAUUUUUCUUUUUUAUUAAAAUUUGAGUUUUAUUGAUGAAAGAUUAGAUCUGUUUGAGGAAUUAACAUUCUGAAAUAUGAAAAAUAAAUUAACCAUUCUAUUUUUAUUUUUUAAAACAAAAGGAGAGGAAAUUAACCAUAGUUUAUUAAUUAGUAAUUAAGCAGAGCAGUCUACUAAGGCCUAUAUCCUUUUACAACUAAACUACAGAUGAAAAGACAGAUUAGGGAAUUACAAUUGAAAUAAGUGGGUAGCUUGCUUCUAGAUUAUAACACGCUAAACCUAAUUAUCCCUAUCGAAAAACCAGAAGUGAUUAAACGGGAAAUUAGAUUAACAUAUAUAUAAUAAUAUAACGAGGUCUGAUACUAAGUUCACUUUCAUGGAUCUUUGCUAGCCGAAGUCAAUGCCCGAACCCAUAACCCUUGCAGGGUGGUGAAGGAUCAGCUAAGGUGCGUUCUUGACUUCUUUUCGAUGCAAACAUCAGCUUCCUUGUAGUACUUUCCCGUUAUUAUUUUCUC
rnacentral:lncRNA from 1 species